rnacentral:rRNA from 1 species
GAUUAACGCUGGCGGCGUGCAUAACACAUGCAAGUCGAACGAUGAAACUUUAAUGAACCCUUCGGGGAGAAUUAAAGCGGAUUAGUGGCGAACGGGUGAGUAACGCGUGAGUAACCUGCCUUACACAAGGGGAUAGCCUUUGGAAACGAAGAAUAAUACCCUAUAAAACCAUAAAAGCACAUGCAAUUAUGGUCAAAGUGAUAGCGGUGUAAGAUGGACUUGCGUCUGAUUAGCUAGUUGGUGAGAUAAAAGCCCACCAAGGCAACGAUCAGUAGCCGGCUUGAGAGAGUGUACGGCCACAUUGGGACUGAGACACGGCCCAGACUCCUACGGGAGGCAGCAGUGGGGAAUUUUGCACAAUGGGGGAAACCCUGAUGCAGCGACGCCGCGUGAUUUAGAAGGCCUUCGGGUUGUAAAAAUCUUUUGUAUAGGAAGAAAAUGACAGUACUAUACGAAUAAGGCCCGGCUAAUUACGUG